rnacentral:lncRNA from 1 species
CACCAUCUCCUCCUCCACCUUAUUACUACAAGUCUCCACCUCCUCCAUCUCCAUCACCACCUUCACCAUACUACUACAAGUCUCCACCACCACCGCUUAAGUCACCUCCUCCCCCAUACUAUUACAGCUCUCCACCACCACCAGUGAAGUCUCCCCCUCCACCAUACUACUACUCCUCGCCACAACCACCAAAGAAAUCACCUCCCCCAUCAUAUCACUAUACUUCUCCACCACCACCUGUUAAGUCACCACCUCCUCCAUACUAUUACAGCUCCCCACCACCACCAAAGAAAUCACCUCCCCCAUCAUAUCACUAUACUUCUCCACCACCACCUGUUAAGUCACCACCUCCUCCAUACUAUUACAGCUCCCCAUCACCACCAAAGAAAUCACCUCCUCCGCCAUAUUACUACAGUUCCCCACCACCACCAGUGAAGUCACCUCCAACUCCAUACUACUACAAGUCUCCUCCACCACCACCAAAGAAAUCUUCUCCCCCACCAUACUACUACAAUUCACCACCACCACCAACUCAUUACUAUCCUCCACAUCAUCAAUUCGUGGUCAAAGUUGUCGGAAAAGUAUAUUGUUUUAGAUGUUACGACUGGAAGCACCCAGAGAUGUCUCACAGCAAGAAACACCUGAAAGGUAUCACAAUAUAAUUUAUACAACACUCGCAUUCCUUAUUUUCCUUUAAUAUAUCAUCAAAAAUAUAUUUAACUAUAUAUUUUCUUUUUUGUUGCUUUCUUCCUUACGCUCUUAAAAGAAUUCAUAAAUGUGUAUCUUUAUUUGGAUCUUUGAUCCAUUUCUGUUUUUCCAAAUGUGAAGUAACAUUAAAAUUUAAAGAGUCAAGAAAUUUUAUAAGGCAAGGACUAUAUCUAUAAUUGUGACUACAGAGUAAAACAUAUUGAAAAUGAAGGUACUCCGUUCUUUCUUGCAAAUGAAGAAUUAAUAUUGAGUGUGAUUCAUUCUCACAUUGGCUGACAAAAGUCUGUACACAUUGGCACACAAGUUGCCAUUAACAUGCAGUUUGUUUCCCUUAUUAGAUUACAAAAUAUUCUUUAUCGUGUGAUGAGAAGGUUUGUUUUAUUUCAUAUUAUGAGGUAAAAAGUGCUCGGAUCUAAAUGAUCAUCAUUAGUAUUGGAGUUAAUUAACGUUAAUUGUUACAUGAAUUAGGUGCUGUUGUUGAAGUCACUUGCAAGGCUGGUGACAAGAAAAUUGUGAGUUAUGGUACCACAAAGAUCAAUGGCAAAUUUAUCAUCACGGUUGAAGGAUUUGAAUAUCGCAAAUAUGGAGCAAAGGCUUGCAAGGCUAAACUCCACAAUGCUCCAAAGGAUUCAAAGUGUAGCAUUCCUACAAAUCUUCAUUGGGGAAUUAAGGGUGCUAACCUCAAAGUGAAAUCAAAGAAUAGUUAUGAAGUUGUACUUUAUGCAAAACCAUUUGCUUAUGGAUCUAAGACACCUUACGCAGAAUGCCAAAAGCCCAAGCCUACACCUGCUCCAUACUAUUAUAAAUCUCCUCCACCUCCAUCACCGACUUAUGUGUACAAGUCACCACCUCCUCCAUCACCAAAGUAUGUGUACAAGUCACCACCUCCCCCAACCCCGACAUAUGUUUAUAAGUCUCCACCACCACCUGCUUACUAUUACAAAUCACCGCCGCCACCAACUAAGUCUCCACCACCUCAUUAUUAUUACAAGUCUCCACCUCCACCAUCACCAAAACCUGCACCAGUAUACUAUUAUAAAUCACCACCACCCCCAUCACCGUCGCCACCCCCACCUUACUACUACAAGUCCCCGCCACCCCCAUCACCAAAACCUGCACCUGUUUACUAUUAUAAAUCACCACCACCCCCAUCACCGUCACCACCCCCACCUUACUACUACAAGUCCCCGCCACCCGCAUCACCAAAACCUGCACCUGUUUACUAUUAUAAAUCACCACCACCCCCAUCACCGUCACCACCCCCACCUUACUACUACAAGUCCCCACCACCACCAUCACCUUCUCCCCCACCUCCCUACUACUAUAAGUCUCCUCCACCACCAUCGCCAUCUCCUCCUCCACCAUACUAUUAUAAGUCCCCUCCUCCACCAACUCCAUCUCCACCCCCACCCUACUACUAUAAAUCUCCUCCACCACCAUCACCAUCUCCUCCACCUCCAUACUACUACAAGUCCCCUCCUCCUCCAUCGCCAUCUCCCCCUCCACCAUACUAUUACAAGUCACCACCGCCACCAUCGUCAUCACCUCCACCACCCUACUACUACAAGUCUCCUCCUCCUCCAUCACCUUCUCCCCCUUCACCAUACUACUACAAGUCACCACCACCUCCAUCGCCAUCUCCACCACCACCCUACUAUUACAAGUCCCCUCCUCCACCAUCCCCAUCACCACCUCCACCCUACUACUACAAGUCGCCUCCUCCACCGUCACCUUCUCCACCACCUCCCUACUACUAUCACUCUCCACCUCCACCAGUAAAGUCUCCUCCUCCUUAUUACUACACCUCACCACCUCCACCAGUGAAAUCACCUCCUCCACCCGUAUAUAUUUACGCUUCCCCACCUCCUCCAAUCCACUACUAAGAGUUUCCAGCAGUUCAGCCAUUCUCCGCACUCAAUCAAGUGAGUAGUUGUUUAAAUUGUAAUUUUUUUCAUAUGAGAUCAAUUUUUUUUCAUUACGACUCUAAUCUUCUAUUUGAUUGUUUCUUUUCAGAUUUUAGUUGGAAACACAAAAUAAAUGAUGGCUUCUUGAGGAAAAGAUUCAAACAUCAAUGGAACAAAGCAAUUAAUUUAUGGAAUAAGACAUUCAAUUUUUCAAUUGAAGGAUUGAUUCUAAGUUACAUGGACCAGUUUGGUUCUACUUCUCUUUUAGCCUUCUUGCACAUUGUUCUCUUAGUGCGUUCACACAUGAACGUGUCUAAGCUUUGAUGCUUCUUAGAGUUCAUUUCUUCGUAAUUUAUUGUUUUAUAUUGAGGACACUGUCCUCAUUUUAUUCAUUCCUAUUAAUUAUUGUAUGUUGUUCUUUUGUAAUACCUUCAUGUACUUUGUGCACAAAUCAAUAAAAAGAUCAAUUUCAUUACAUGCACUUUCAUUUCUUUCUUCUACAUCUUUCCCCUCUUCACAAAUGUUACAAACAAAUUAAAUUAUCUUCUCCAAAUAUAUCUAAGCAAAUUGAAGAUUUUCACCAUGCUUGUGAUCAGUUGGUACAAGAGUAUCACACUUAGGUUUCGAAUAUGUUGAGCAUGUCACAUAGCGCAUUUGGUAAUAGUUGGUACAAGAUUCAGAUAAUGCCCAUAGUAACGCACAUUUGCAUUUACCAGUAAUAAACUCUAUCAACAUCAGCGUUGUUUUAUACCAGCUAGCUUGAGUCCGCGUCAGAGAAUAUACAUAUCCUGUCUACUCUACAGAUCAACAGGAAAGGAAAGUAAAACAGGGAAAUAGAUAUUAAUUAAUUUGGCUAAAUAAGUCAAAGUUGCUGCAAUUAUUUGUAAAUGUAGGACACCACAUAAUUUAAUAUCAUAGAAUAUAUGCACUAGCCUUUUUCUAGAAAUUUCCAUGUCUUACGAGUUUUGUAAGGUGAUACAGAGAUAUGCUUAUCAGCCCACACCCUGGCAAUUGAAAACAAAAUGGUAAGAGAGUGGAAGUAUUAAAAAAUAGCACUUUCUUUCCUUUAAGCCAUUACAUGGCAUGUGUUUUUGUGUGCUUCAUAUGGUGUGUUCCCAUAUACAGCAAGUAACAAACUACUUAUUGAAAAGAAAAUGUAGAAAUAUACAAAGUGAUACAGAGAUGGACUUUAAUAAAUAAGAUGACAACUUGUAGAUCCAGCUGGUAAGAACUAUUAAUAUUCUUUUUGCACUUUGAUUAUCAAUUAGAGCAAUUGAAUUGGUCCUUUAGACAGCUCUUUACUAACAACUACUUCUAAAGGUGUGUUACUAUAAAUGCAUAGGCCAAUGAAUCCCCAAACCUGCCAAGGGUCGUCGACAUUUGCCACAAAUCUUAGUGGCAUUGGCCAUAUUGGCUGUUGCUAAUGUAGUGUCAGCAGACCCUUAUGUGUACUCUUCUCCACCACCUCCAACGUAUGAGUACAAGUCACCACCACCUCCUUCGCCUUCUCCACCGCCACCUUAUGUGUACAAAUCUCCACCUCUUCCAUCACCUUCUGCCCCACCACCAUAUGUGUAUAAGUCUCCACCUCCUCCGUCACCAUCUCCACCACCACCCUAUGUGUAUAAGUCUCCGCCACCUCCAUCGCCAUCUCCACCACCACCAUAUGUGUAUAAGUCUCCCCCACCUCCAUCGCCAUCUCCACCACCACCAUAUGUUUAUAAGUCACCACUUCCUCCUUCUCCAUCACCACCUCCACCAUAUGUGUAUAAGUCUCCACCGCCUCCAUCGCCAUCUCCACCACCACCGUAUGUGUAUAAGUCUCCACCUCCUCCGUCACCGUCUCCACCACCACCCUAUGUAUAUAAGUCUCCCCCACCACCAUCACCAUCUCCACCUCCACCAUAUUACUACAAGUCCCUUCCUCCACCAUCACCUUCACCACCACCUCCAUAUUACUACAAGUCACCACCUCCAAUGGAUGUUCUAACCAAUUUUCGCACACCUCGACUAAUUCCACCGGAUACCAGUUAGCUUUCACUAGCAACAUGUAUCAAAUAAUUUUGUCCAUCGAGACUAGAACAAAUGGCAAGAAUCACCUAGUGCUUUUUGUCUCUAAUGAAAUUUGAACCUAAGAUCUCAUGAUUUUGAAUCCACCAAGGCUUCUACAUAAUUUAAUAGUACAAAAAAUUGAUAGACAAAAACGACAUACCUAGUGAGCUCCAACAAGUAAGGUCUGAAGAGGGUAAAGUAUACGCAAACCUUACCAGUAGCUUGAGGAGGUAGAGAGAUUGUUUUCGAAAGACCCUCGACUUAAGUGUAGCAAAUUAAUGUUUAAAAUUUCUAAGUGGGCAAUAAGUAAUUUCUUAAGCCAUCACCAGAGAUGAGAAAACAAAUUUUCGUGUAGCUUUGCAAAAAAAAGAAAAAAAAAAUUACUUUGGCUUGAUAAAGGUAAAGGAAAAAAAAAAACACAAAAUUAGUCACUAUAUAGAAAAUUAGCAUUGUUUAAUUUCCUUUUUGGUAAUCCAAUUAUGAAAACAAAUUGUGAAAUCUUCCUAGGGUUCGACACUGAGCAUGGAGAAAACUCUGUUGGGAGCGCUACCCUCCGAAUGGGGUCCUACCCGGCGCGAAUCCGGAUUAGUCGGGCUCCAAUGCGAGUACCGGACACUGGAUGAAAAACCAAAAAAAAAAAAAGUGAAAUCUUAGUGAUUUUUUCUAUCUAAUGAAUCAAAAUCUGCUUUAAAGUCAUCUAUCUUAUACGUAUCUCCGAGUAUAUGAGUGUGUUCUUACUACGAAAAAGAAAUAAUAAAAUAUAUGAUUCUCGAAACUCUCACUCAUUCUCUCCUUUCUUUUGUCUAAACAAUUUCAUUGACUAUAUGUGGAACAACUCGACAUAAAUUCGACAUAAUCGACACCUCAGAAUUUGAUCACCUCAACUCCAUUAUAUUUGAAUCCAAUAACAUUUCAAACCUAUAAACUUCAAAUUCCGAAUCUGUUUGUUUCCAAAGUCAACCACACUACUAACAUAGGCCUGCUAAGAAAAAUAGAAAUAACAAAGAAACAGACAAGAAGACCAAAUAAUUCUAUGAUCUCAAUGUUCAUAAGAUGCUUCCAUGUGGCAACAGAAUAACAAAAAAACUAUGUCAAUAGAGUAAGUGGAAAUAUUCAAAACCCAUCGUCAGGCCCCUUAAAUACGCGUCAUCUUUCAAUUAGGCACCUCAAGUGAACAUUGGUUCAUUUUGGCAUCUCAAGCGGCCUUCAAGUGUGUCACUUCAACACGUUUUGCUGAAUCAGCAAAAUAAUAUUAGUGCGUGAGCUACACUCUCCGCUGAGCUGGAAAGUGACGAAUAAAAUGCGGACACGUGUUAUUUUUGUCCAAAUAAUUUAUAAAUAAUAAAUUUUAAAUAAAAAAUACCCAAAUAAUUUAUAAAUAAUUAAUUUAAAUAAAAAAUACCCCCUCCCCCUAACCUACCCACCCCACCAACCUUCUUCUUCAAACACCCCAUCCACCCCACCAAAUUUUUUUCAUCGAUCUUGCUUCGAUUUUUAAUUUUUCUUCACUGAUUUUACUUGAUUUUUAGAUUUUCUUCAUGAAUUUAACUUCAUUUUUUUCAGAUUUGCUUCAUCUAUUUUGCUUCAAUUUUUAGUUUUUUUAAUUGAUUUUGUUUGAUUUUAAUUUUUCUUCACGGAUUUAGCUUUAUUUUUUAAUUUCUUUCAUCAAUUUUGCUCCGAUUUUCAAAUUUUCUUCACUGAUUUUUCUUGGUUUUUAUGCUUCAAUUUUGAUUUUUUUUUAUUGAUUUUGUUUGAUUUCAAUUUUUCUUCACUGAUUUGGCUUUAUUUUUCUAUUUUUCUUCAUCGAUUUUGUUUGAUUUUUAGUUUUUCUUCAUUGAUGUUGCUUAUUUUUUAUUUUUAUUCAUCAAUUUUGCCCUUAAUGAUAAAAAAAAAGGUGCUUAUCAUUUAAUCAUCACAAACCUUUAAAUGCGUAGAUAAAUUUCUCUCAAUAAUUCUUACCGUUAAAUAAAUUAAGAUUGACAAAAAUAACGGAUAAAAAUGCGAAAGAAUUAUAAAUUAAUGGGCAUUGAGUUAAUAUAUUGUUUUUGGCAAGACGAACUCCUAAAUAUGUAUCUAAUUUUUAAAUCUCUCUCAAUAAUUUCUACCAUUAAAUAAGCUUAAGAUUGACAAAAAAGAUGGAUAAAAAUAAGGAAAAAGGUAUAAAUUAAUUAAAAUGAGUUAAUAUAUUGUUGGUGGGCCAAUUUGGGCGCCACAACAGCCAAAAACAGGCUUUCAUGCGCCUUUUCGGAGUGUUCCGCACGAGUUUUGCCAACCAGGCAAAAGGUGCCAAAAUGGCACACUUUAAGGCCACUUGAAGUGCCAAAAUGAACCAAUGUCCACUUGAGGUGCCUAAAUGAAAGAUCGCGUGUACUUGAGAUGCCUGGCGAUGAGUUUUCCCUAAAAAUUAUCAAUCAAUGUCUAUGCACAUUCAUAUGUUGUAUCUCAUUUUCUAUGUAGUAGGUAACAAACUACUAGUUGUUAUAAAGAUAAAAGUUGGAAAACUGGAAAUAUUCAAAGUGAUACAAAGAUGGACUUUUAAUAAACAAGAUGUAAAACUUGUAGAUCCAGCUGUUAAGAGUAGUUUAAUAUACUUUUUACACAUUGAUUGUUAAUUAGAGCUAUUGAAUUGGUCAUUUAGACAGCUCUUUACUAACAACUAGUGUGUUAAUAUAAAUAGAUAGGCCAAUGAACCCUCUAAAGGCAUCAGUUCUCAACUGAAAAACUAAACUUGUCUUCUUUUUUCUUCCCUUAACUAGCCACAUUUGGGAGGCUAGGUGGUGUAUUUUCCGGCAAAAUGAGGCUUCACGGUGGCGGCCCUGCCAAGGGUCGUCGAUAUUUGCCACAAAUUUUAGUGGCGUUGGCCAUAUUGGCUGUUGCUAAUGUAGUGUCAGCAGACCCUUAUGUGUACUCUUCUCCACCACCUCCAACGUAUGAGUACAAGUCACCACCACCUCCUUCGCCAUCUCCACCGCCACCUUAUGUGUACAAAUCUCCACCUCCUCCAUCACCUUCUCCCCCACCACCAUAUGUGUAUAAGUCUCCACCUCCUCCGUCACCAUCUCCACCACCACCCUAUGUGUAUAAGUCUCCGCCACCUCCAUCGCCAUCUCCACCACCACCAUAUGUGUAUAAGUCUCCAUCACCUCCAUCGCCAUCUCCACCACCACCAUAUGUGUAUAAGUCUCCCCCACCUCCAUCGCCAUCUCCACCUCCACCAUAUUACUACAAGUCUCCUCCCCCACCAUCACCUUCACCACCACCUCCAUAUUACUACAAGUCGCCACCUCCAUCUUCACCAUCACCUCCACCACCAUACUAUUACAAAUCUCCACCACCGCCCUCACCAUCACCACCCCCGCCAUACAAUUAUAAGUUUCCACCACCACCUUCUCCUUCACCUCCUCCACCAUACUACUACUCCUCGCCGCCGCCGCCGCCACCAAAGAAAUCACCUCCCCCACCAUAUCACUAUACUUCUCCACCACCACCUGUUAAGUCACCACCUCCUCCAUACUACUACAGCUCUCCACCACCACCAGUGAAGUCUCCCCCUCCACCAUACUACUACUCCUCGCCGCCGCCGCCGCCACCAAAGAAAUCACCUCCCCCACCAUAUCACUAUACUUCUCCACCACCACCUGUUAAGUCACCACCUCCUCCAUACUACUACAGCUCUCCACCACCAACAUCGCCAUCCCCUCCACCUCCAUACUACUACAAGUCCCCUCCUCCACCAUCUCCAUCACCACCUCCACCCUACUACUACAAGUCUCCUCCUCCUCCUUCGCCUUAUCCCCCUCCCCCAUACUAUUACAAGUCACCACCACCUCCAUCGCCAUCUCCUCCACCACCCUACUACUACAAGUCACCACCGCCACCAUCCCCAUCACCACCUCCACCCUACUACUACAAGUCUCCUCCUCCUCCUUCGCCUUAUCCCCCUCCCCCAUACUAUUACAAGUCACCACCACCUCCAUCGCCAUCUCCUCCACCACCCUACUACUACAAGUCCCCUCCUCCACCAUCUCCAUCACCACCUCCACCCUACUACUACAAGUCGCCUCCUCCACCGUCACCUUCUCCACCACCUCCCUACUAUUACCACUCUCCACCUCCACCAGUAAAGUCUCAUCCUCCUCCUUAUUACUACAGCUCACCACCACCACCAGUGAAAUCACCUCCUCCACCCGUAUAUAUUUACGCUUCCCCACCACCUCCAGUCCACUACUAAGAGUUUCCAGCAGUUCAGCCAUUCUCCACGCUCAAUCAAGUGAGUAGUUGUUUAAAUUAGUAAAAAAAAUUUCAUAUGAGAUCAACUUUUUUUAGCACGGCUCUAAUCUUCUAUCUGAUUGUUUCUUUUUAGAUUUUAGUUGGAAACACAAAAUAAAUGAUGGCUUCUUGAGGAAAAGAUUCAAACGUCAAUGGAACAAAGCAAUUAAUUUAUGGAAUAAGACAUUCAAUUUUUCAAUUGAAGGAUUGAUUCUUAGUUACAUGGACCAGUUUGGUUCUACUUCUCUUUUAGCCUUCUUGCACAUUGUUCUCUUAGUGCGUUCACACAUGAACGUAUCUAAGCUUUGAUGCUUCUUAGAAUUCAUUUCUUCGUAAUUUAUUGUUUUAUAUUGAGGACACUGUCCUCAUUUUAUUCAUUCCUAUUAAUUAUUGUAUGUUGUUCUUUUGUAAUUCCUUCAUGUACUUUGUGCACAAAUCAAUAAAAAGAUCAAUUUCAGUACAUUCACUCUCUUUUCUUUCUUCUAUAUCUUUCCCCUCACAAAUGUUACAAACAACUUAAAUUAAUCUUCUCCAAAUAUAUCUAAGCAAAUUGGAGAUGAAAAUACCUACAAUUAUUUUAAAAUAUUUAAUAGUUUAAUGUAGAAGUAGUUCAUGACAUGACUAUAAGUAAAACACCUAAAAAAGCACCUCUGUGUUACCAAAAUGAACUGGGUACCUCUUACCAAAAUUAUAAAGAUGACAAUACAAAAAUGGAAGAAAAGCCAGUUUCCUUUUCUUUUUUUUUUGGUUGCAACAGAAAUUCUAACUGUUGCCUCCACAUGCAGUUGAUCUCAUCAUUGAGCAUUCACACGAAUUUCUAAGAUUAUUACAAUGAAGAGAUCAAAAAGGCUAUAAUAUGAUGCUUUGAAUAGUAAGCAAAAAUGAAUGAAAAUAUCAAAAUACUUUUGAAUAACUUAUUUCAUGAACUGACGCUUCUGAAAUAAAUAAUAAAACAUUUCCGAAUAACGAAAAUUUGUGAAACUUAUUUUUAAAUUACAUAAAUACACUCGGUAUGUUGUUUACACUGGCCUCCCCAUACCACUUAUCGGAUUACACCGGGUAUGUUGUUCUUGCAGUUGUAAAUGCGGAUUUGGUGAAACAAUUCAAUGUCAAAAAAAAAAGAAAAAAGAACAACAUUUCUAGUUGGCAACAAAUAAUUUGAAGCAAUCAAUAUACAUAUUUGUAAUUUAUAAACCAUGUAUCCAUCAGACCAUCACAGUAAAAAAGGUUAUUUUAAGUUAUCAAGGUUCUUGCGACCAACUAGUGAUCCAAAAAGAAAAUAAAUCACCUAUUCACUAACAAAUUGAAGAUUUUCACCAUGCUUGUGAUCAGUUGGUACAAGAGUAUCAUACUUAGGUUUCGAAUAUGUUGAGCAUGUCACAUGGCGCAUUUGGUAAAAGUUGGUAAAAGAUUCAGACAAUGCCACAGUAACGCACCUUAGCAUUUACCAGUAAUAAACUCUAUCAACAUCAGCGUUGUUUUAUACCAGCUAGCUUGAGUCCGCGUCAGAGAAUACACAUAUCCUGUCUCCUCUACAACAGGAAAGUAAAACAGGGGAAGAGAUAUUAAUUAAUUUGGCUAAAUAAGUCAAAGUUGCUGCAAUUAUUUGUAAAUGUAGGACACCACAUAAUUUAAUAUCAUAGAAUAUAUGCACUAGCCUUUUUCUAGAAAUUUCCAUGUCUUACAAGUUUUGUAAGGUGAUACAGAGAUAUGCUUAUCAGCCCACACCCUGGCAAUUGAAAACAAAAUGGCAAGAGAGUGGAAGUAUUAAAAAAUAGCACUUUCUUUCCUUUAAGCCAUUACAUGGCAUGUGUUUUUGUGCGCUUCAUACGUUGUGUUCCCAUAUACAGCAAGAAACAGACUACUAGUUGUUAUAAAGAUAAAGUUGGAAAACUGGAAAUAUUCAAAGUGAUACAAAGGGAGACUUUUAAUAAAUAAGCUGUAAAACUUGUAGAUCCAGCUGUUAAGAGUUGUUUAAUUUACACUUUGAUUGUUAAUUAGAGCAAUUGAAUUGGUCAUUUAGACAGCUCUUUACUAACAACUAGUUUUCAAGGUGUGUUACUAUAAAUACAUAGGCCAAUGAAUCCUCUAAAGGCAUCACUUCUCAACUGAAAAAACUAAACUUGUCUUCUUUCUUCUUCCCUUGACUAGCCACAUUUGGGAGGCUAGGUGGCGUAUUUUCCGGAAAAAUGAGGCUUCACGGUGGCGGCCCUGCCAAGGGUCAUCGACAUUUGCCACAAAUCUUAGUGGCAUUGGCCAUAUUGGCUGUUGCUAAUGUAGUGUCAGCAGACCCUUAUGUGUACUCUUCUCCACCACCUCCAACGUAUAAGUCACCACCACCUCCUUCGCCUUCUCCACCGCCACCUUAUGUGCACAAAUCUCCACCUCCUCCAUCACCUUCUCCCCCGCCUCCAUAUGUUUAUAAGUCACCACCUCCUCCUUCUCCAUCUCCACCACCACCUUAUGUGUAUAAGUCUCCCCCACCACCAUCACCAUCUCCACCUCCACCAUAUUACUACAAGUCCCCUCCUCCACCAUCACCUUCACCACCACCACCAUAUUACUACAAGUCGCCACCUUCACCAUCAUCUCCACCACCAUACUAUUACAAAUCUCCACCCCCGCCCUCACCAUCACCACCCCCGCCAUACAAUUAUAAGUCUCCGCCACCACCUUCUCUUUCACCUCCUCCACUAUACUACUACAAAUCUCCACCACCUCCUUCACCAUCUCCUCCUCCACCUUAUUACUACAAGUCUCCACCUCCUCCAUCUCCAUCACCACCUCCACCUUACUACUACAAGUCUCCACCACCACCGGUUAAGUCACCUCCUCCCCCAUACUAUAACAGCUCUCCACCACCACCAGUGAAGUCUCCCCCUCCACCAUACUACUACUCCUCGCCACCACCACCAAAGAAAUCACCUCCCCCACCAUAUCACUAUACUUCUCCACCACCACCUGUUAAGUCACCGCCUCCUCCAUACUAUUACAGCUCCCCACCACCACCAAAGAAAUCACCUCCUCCGCCAUAUUACUACAGUUCCCCACCAUCACCAGUGAAGUCACCUCCAACUCCAUACUACUACAAGUCUCCACCACCACCACCAAAGAAAUCUACUCCCCCACCAUACUACUACACUUCACCACCACCACCAACUCAUUACUAUCCUCCACAUCAUCAAUUCGUGGUCAAAGUUGUCGGAAAAGUCUAUUGUUUUAGAUGCUACGACUGGAAGCACCUAGAAAUGUCUCAUGGCAAGAAACACCUGAAAGGUAUCACAAUAUAAUUUAUACAACACUCGCAUUCUUUAUUUUCCUUUAAAAUAUCAUCAAAAAUAUAUUUAACUAUAUAUUAUCUUUUUUGUUGCUUUGCUCCUUACGCUCUUAAAAGAAUUCAUAAAUGUGUAUCUUUAUUUGGAUCUUUGAUCCAUUUAUGUUUUUCCAAAUCUGAAGUAACAUUAAAAUUUAAAAAGUCAAGAAAUUUUUUAAGGCAAGGACCAUAUCUAUAAUUGUGACUAUAGAGUAAAACAUAUUGAAAAAGAAGGUAUUCUGUUCUUGCUUGCAAAUGAAGAAUUAAUAUCGAGUGUAAUUCAUUCUCACAUUGGCAGACAAAAGUCUGUACACAUUGGCACACAAGUUGCCAUUAACAUGCAGUUUAUUUCCCUUAUUAGAUUACAAAAUAUUUUUUAUAGUGUGAUGAGAAGGUUUGUUUUAUUUCAUAUUAUGAGGUGAAAAGUGCUCGGAUCUAAAUGAUCAUCAUUAGUAUUGGAGUUAAUUAAUGUUUUCUUUUAUGGAUUAGGUGCGGUUGUUGAAGUGACUUGCAAGGCUGGUGACAAGAAAAUUGUGAGUUAUGGUACCACUAAGAUCAAUGGAAAAUUUAGCGUCACAGUAGAAGGAUUUGAAUAUCGCAAAUAUGGAGCAAAGGCUUGCAAGGCUAAACUCCACAAUGCUCCAAAGGACUCAAAGUGCAACAUUCCUACAAACCUUCAUUGGGGAAUAAAGGGUGCUAACCUCAAAGUGAAAUCAAAGAAUAGUUAUGAAGUUGUACUUUAUGCAAAACCAUUUGCUUAUGGAUCUAAAACACCUUAUGCAGAAUGCCAAAAGCCCAAGCCUACACCUGCUCCAUACUAUUAUAAAUCUCCUCCACCUCCAUCACCGACUUAUGUGUACAAGUCACCACCUCCUCCAUCACCAAAGUAUGUGUAUAAUUCACCACCUCCCCCAACCCCGACAUAUGUUUAUAAGUCUCCACCACCACCUGCCUACUAUUACAAAUCACCACCACCACCAACUAAGUCUCCACCUCCACCAUCACCAAAACCUGCACCAGUAUACUAUUAUAAAUCACCACCACCCCCAUCACCGUCACCACCCCCACCUUACUACUACAAGUCCCCGCCACCACCAUCACCGAAACCUGCACCUGUUUACUAUUUUAAAUCACCACCACCCCCAUCACCGUCACCACCCCCACCUUACUACUACAAGUCCCCGCCACCACCAUCACCGAAACCUGCACCUGUUUACUAUUUUAAAUCACCACCACCCCCAUCACCGUCACCACCCCCACCUUACUACUACAGGUCCCCACCACCACUAUCACCAUCUCCUCCACCUCCAUACUACUACAAGUCCCCUCCUCCUCCAUCGCCAUCUCCCCCUCCACCAUACUAUUACAAGUCACCACCGCCACCAUCCCCAUCACCUCCACCACCCUACUAUUACAAGUCUCCUUCUCCUCCAUCGCCUUCUCCCCUUCCCCCAUACUACUACAAGUCCCCUCCUCCACCAUCCCCAUCACCACCUCCACCCUACUACUACAAGUCUCCUCCUCCUCCAUCGCCUUCUCCCCUUCCCCCAUACUACUACAAGUCCCCUCCUCCACCAUCCCCAUCACCACCUCCACCCUACUACUAUAAGUCGCCUCCUCCACCAUCACCUUCUCCACCACCUCCCUACUACUACCACUCUCCACCUCCACCAGUAAAGUCUCCUCCUCCUCCUUAUUACUACAGCUCACCACCACCACCAGUGAAAUCACCUCCUCCACCCGUAUAUAUUUAUGCUUCCCCACCUCCUCCAGUCCACUACUAAGAGUUUCCAGCAGUUCAGCCAUUCUCCGCGCUCAAUCAAGUGAGUAGUUGUUUAAAUUAGUAAAAAAAAUUUCAUAUGAGAUCAACUUUUUUUCAUUACAGCUCUAAUCUUCUAUUUGAUUGUUUCUUUUCAGAUUUUAGUUGGAAACACAAAUUAAAUGAUGGCUUCUUGAGGAAAAGAUUCAAACAUCAAUGGAACAAAGCAAUUAACUUAUGGAAUAAGACAUUCAAUUUUUCAAUUGAAGGAUUGAUUUUUAGUUACAUGGACCAGUUUGGUUCUACUUCUCUUUUAGCCUUCUUGCACAUUGUUCUCUUAGUGCGUUCACACAUGAACGUAUCUAAGCUUUGAUGCUUUUUAGAGUUCAUUUCUUCGUAAUUUAUUGUUUUAUAUUGAGGACCACUGUCCUCAUUUUAUUCAUUCCUAUUAAUUAUUGUAUGUUGUUCUUUUGUAAUACCUUCAUGUACUUUGUGCACAAAUCAAUAAAAAGAUCAAUUUCAUUACAUUCACUUUCUUUUCUUUCUUCUGCAUCUUUCCCCUCUUCACAAAUGUUACAAACAAAUUAAAUUAAUCUUCUCCAAAUAUAUCUAAGCAAAUUGGAGAUGAAAAUACCUACAAUUAUUUUAAGAUAUUUAAUAGUUUAAUGUAGAAGUAGUUCAUGACAUAACUAUAAGUAAAACACCUAAAAAACACCUCUGUGUUACCACAAUGAACUAGUUACUUCUUACCAAAAUGGAAGAAAAGCCAUUUUCCUUUUUCUUGUUUUAGUGUGGCAACAGAAAUUUUAACUGUUGCCUCCACAUGCAGUUGAUCUCAUCAUUGAGCAUUCACACGAAUUUCUAAAGAUUAUUAUAAUGAAGAGAUUAAGAAGGCUAUAAUAUGAUGCUUUGAAUAGUAACCAAAAAUGAAUGAAAAUAUCAAAAUACUUUUGAAUAACUUAUUUCAUGAACUGAUGCUUCUGAAAUAAAUAAUAAAACAUUUCAGAAUAAAGAAAAUUUGUCAAACUUAUUUUUCAAUAACAUAAAUACUCUUGGUAUGUUGUUUACACUGGCCUCCCAUACCACUUGUCAGAUUACACUUAGUAUGUUGUUCUUGUUGUUGUAAACUCGGAUUUGGUGAAACAAUUCAAUGUCAAAAAAAAAAAAACAUCAUUUCAGUUGGCAACAUAUAAUUUAAAGCAAUCAAUAUACAUAUUUGUAAUUUAUAAACCAUGUGUCCAUCAGACCAUCUCAGUAAAAAAGGUUUUUUUAAGUUAUCAAGGUUAUUGCGACCAACUAGUGAUCCAAAAGAAAAUAAAUCAUCUAUUCGCUAACAAAUUGAAGAUUUUCACCAUGCUUGAGAUCAGUUGGUACAAGAGUAUCACACUUAGGUUUCGAAUAUGUUGAGCAUUUCACAUAGCGCAUUUGGUAAUAGUUGGUACAAGAUUCAGGCAAUGCCACACCUUAGCAUUUACCAGUAAUAAACUCUAUCAAUGCCAGCGUUGUUUUAUACCAGCUAGCUUGAGUCCGCGUCAGAGAAUAUACAUAUCCUGUCUCCUCUACAGAUCAGCAGGAAAGUAAAACAGGGGAAAAGAUAUUAAUUAAUUUGGCUAAAUAAGUCAAAGUUGCUGCAAUUAUUUGUAAAUGCAGGACACCACAUGAUUUAAUAUCAUAGAAUAUAUGCACUAGCUUUUUUCUAGAAAUUUUCAAACUUAUAAGUUUUUAAAGGUGAUAUAGAGAUAUGCUUAUCAGCCCACACCCUGGCAAUUGAAAACAAAAUGGCAAGAGAGUGGAAGUAUUAAAGAAUAGCACUUUCUUUCCUUUAAGCCAUUACAUGGCAUGUGUUUUUGUGUGCUUCAUAUGGUGUGUUCCCAUAUACAGCAAGUAACAAACUACUUAUUGAAAAGAAAAUGUAGAAAUAUACAAAGUGAUACAGAGAUGGACUUUAAUAAAUAAGAUGACAACUUGUAGAUCCAGCUGGUAAGAACUAUUAAUAUUCUUUUUGCACUUUGAUUAUCAAUUAGAGCAAUUGAAUUGGUCCUUUAGACAGCUCUUUACUAACAACUACUUCUAAAGGUGUGUUACUAUAAAUGCAUAGGCCAAUGAAUCCCCAAAGUGCAUCAGUUCUCAACAGUAAAAACUAAAAGUUGUCUCUUUUACUCUUCAGUUAACUAGCCACAUUUGGAGGCUAGGUGGUAUAAUUAUCCGGCGAAAUGAGAAUUCAAGGUGGCGGCCCUGCCAAGGGUCGUCAAUAUUUGUCACAAAUUUUAGUGGCAUUGGCCAUUUUGGCUGUUGCUAAUAUAGUAUCGGCAGAUCCUUAUGUAUACUCUUCGCCUCCACCUCCACCGUAUGUGUACAAGUCACCACCACCUCCUUCUCCUUCUCCACCACCACCUUAUGUGUACAAAUCUCCACCUCCUCCAUCACCUUCUCCCCCGCCUCCAUAUGUUUAUAAGUCACCUCCUCCUCCUUCUCCACCUCCACCUCCACCAUAUGUGUAUAAGUCUCCACCGCCUCCAUCGCCAUCUCCACCUCCACCAUAUUACUACAAGUCCCCUCCUCCACCAUCACCUUCACCACCACCACCAUAUUACUACAAGUCUCCACCUCCACCUUCACCAUCACCUCCACCACCAUAUUAUUACAAAUCUCCACCACCGCCCUCACCAUCACCACCACCACCAUACUAUUAUAAGUCUCCACCGACACCUUCUCCUUCACCUCCUCCACCAUACUCCUAUAAAUCUCCACCACCUCCUUCACCAUCUCCUCCGCCACCUUAUUACUACAAGUCUCCACCUCCUCCAUCUCCAUCACCACCACCACCAUAUUAUUACAAGUCUCCUCCUCCACCAUCCCCAUCACUACCCCCACCUUACUUCUACAAGUCUCCACCUCCACCGGCUAAGUCACCUCCUCCCCCAUACUACUACAGUUCUCCACCACCAGCAGUGAAGUCUCCCCCUCCACCAUAUUACUACUACUCACCACCACCACCAAAGAAAUCACCUCCCCCACCAUAUCACUAUACUUCUCCACCACCACCUGUUAAGUCACCGCCUCCUCCAUACUAUUACAGCUCCC